UCACCGAAUGAAAAAUCAAAUGUCUUCAGGGACCCGGCAGGAUCCCGAAGGACGCCGCUCUAAGCCAGAGGGAGCGGUGUGUGUUGUGGCUGAAGUGGAAAAUACAAGCCCAGUUUAAAGGCAUUCAAACAUGAAUUGUUUUUUUUAAAGCCAUGCGAGCCAAACAAAACAUGUCAGCAGUUCUUUUAUCUGAAAGUGAAGUUCUGGGAACACUGGGAUGUAGAGAAAGUGGUGUGAAACUUUGAGCUAGAUUUAGCUGGAUUUGGUUUUCCUUUGUUAUGACGUGGGUAUGUCAGUUGAUAUAGUUUGGCUCUGUGUCCCUACCCAAAUCUCAUCGAGACUGUAAUCCAUAUGUACUGAGAGAGGGACCUGGUAGAUGGAGAUUGGAUCAUGGUGGCCAUUUCCCCUAUGCUGUUCUCCUGAUAGUGAAUGAGUUCUCACAAGAGCUGAUGGUUUUAAAAGUGUGGCACUUACUCACUCUCGCUGUCUCCUACCACCUUGUGAAGAAGGUGCCUGCUUCUCCUUUGCCUUCCACUAUGAUUGUAAGUUUCCUGAGGCCUCCGCAGUCAUGUGGAACUGUGAGUCAACUAAACCUCUUUUGUUUAUAAAUUACCCAGUCUCAGUAUCUUUGUAGCAGUGUGAAAAUGAACGAAUACAUUAGUCAAUCUGUUUAACAAACCUAUAUUGUUAUAAUUCAACUGGAGAAAAUAAUAACCUACUUCUCAAAGUUAUGAGCCUUAGUUUUGGAGACCAUGAAGGAGACAGGACUGGACUUCAAUAAGGGAUGGUUGUUAUGAUUAUGCAUAUCAUACUUUUUACUGGGUGAGAUGUUUAUAUGACAAUUAUUUGCUGCCUUAGCUAUUGGUUUAAAAUAACUAAUUUUUGUUAAUUAUAUUGCCAUGACACUAUGAUUUUGUUAAUAUUUUUGUUAAAUAGAGCAUAAAGGUUUUGAGUAGUAAAAAAGCUGAGCUGAUAAUAUUUAGAGCAUAUACCUUAGUCUUUCAUAUCUUGGAUUGAUUUAAAAUAUUUUAAAAUGAGAUUAUCUUUUUUCUUCAGGGAUAAUUUAUACUUUAUUUUUGGUUUCCUAUGAA
rnacentral:lncRNA from 1 species